rnacentral:rRNA from 1 species
UACGUAGGUGGCAAGCGUUGUCCGGAAUUACUGGGUGUAAAGGGCGUGUAGGCGGGGAUGCAAGUCAGAUGUGAAACCCCACAGCUUAACUGUGGGCUUGCAUCUGAAACUGUAUUUCUUGAGUGUUGGAGAGGGAAGUGGAAUUCCUAGUGUAGCGGUGAAAUGCGUAGAGAUUAGGAGGAACACCAGUGGCGAAGGCGACUUCCUGGCCAACAACUGACGCUGAGGCGCGAAAGCGUGGGGAGCAAACAGG